ACAGAUUUUCAAUGUUCAAAACAGAAUAAACUUCCCUGUAAAAGCAGCACCUUUGUGACAUUUUAAACUUUAAUAUUCUUCUCUUCUCUGCCCUAUCUUUCAAUAGAAUCCAUACUAACUUCCUCAUAAUCCUUCUCAAGGGCAGCCAUAUUCUCAUGGGCCUGAGAAAAACUUUCCAUCCCCCAUGCCCUCACCUAAAUACCAGUGAAGAAAGACAUGUUUGGCAUACAUCAAGUCAAACUUGUGGUCAGGUGAGCCCAGGUCUGAGCAAUGGCUGUGGUGUUGCUCAGCAUGUACACAGCUCACUGUACUUUGGCUGGGUCCCCACCAGACAUCACAGUGGGAGGCUGGUUUUUAAUAACAACUUUGAAGCAGUGGGGCACCAGUCCACAGACUAGAUGAUAUACUUGGUCUUAAUGGUGGCAAUGGCAGCAUUGACAUCUUUGGGAACCACUUGCCACUAUACAACAGGCAACAAGCCAUGUGUUUACCAUGGCAAGGGUCACAUUUUACAAUCUGGUUGGCUGGCUCAAAGCAUGCAUUCAUCAUCUCUGCUACAGAAAGUUGUUCAUGGUAGGCUUUCUCAGCAGAGAUGACAAGGGCGUAUGUAGCCAGAGGGAAGUGGAUG
rnacentral:lncRNA from 1 species